ACACAACAUGCAGGCAAGAGGACAAAGAAAAGCACUCAGAACGAUAAUAACCCAAAAUUAAGAACGCCAGGGCAUCAAAACAAAGUUCAGCUGACAUUCUUAAUUUUGGGGUGUUGUCAAUACCCAAAAAAGAAAGUUCGUAGACCGAACUGACCGCCCCAAAAAAUUUCCCUUUGUUUUUGAUUUGUUUUAUUGUGUUCCCAAACAACAACCAAAGUCGCAAUCGAGGUUGUAAGGUUGAAACGUUUAUUCUCCGGACGUCUCUUCUUCAUAAGACGCUGUUUUGCAUCUGCUACAGUCGGAUUGUAACUAAAAAAAAUCUAACCUAUAUUCCGAAAAAAAACCCAGCAGGCCAUGAGGAGGAAGAAACUAUUCGGGAAAUCGGAACUUCCACCCACUGUAGGAGGGACCAACUUAACAAUUAGCACUAUGCUGGAGCCACCCGGAACAGACUGCAGUGACAGAAUAAAUCACGAGAAGAUUUCCCCAAAAACCGUUCCAUCAUUUCCAGUAACGAUAGCAUAGUUUUCACCAGUUCCAGUUAUCCAGUCUAGAUUCACCAGUUCCAGUUACUAUACGAAGGUAUACGAGAUUUGUACAGGUUAAACAGAAAACUUUUCUGUUCUACAAACUCAAAUAAACGAACCUGGAUUAAUGCAUGCAUGCUUCCCGAUGCCAAAAGAUUCAAUUUUUAUCAAAUUGCGUUCUCUAUUCCGGCCUGGGUGCAGGAUUAG